rnacentral:rRNA from 1 species
UACGUAGGGGGCAAGCGUUGUCCGGAAUCAUUGGGCGUAAAGCGCGUGUAGGCGGCUCGAUAAGUCUGCUGUGAAAGUUCAGGGCUCAACCCUGAAAUGCCGGUGGAAACUGUCGAGCUAGAGUCCGGAAGAGGAGAGUGGAAUUCCUGGUGUAGCGGUGAAAUGCGCAGAUAUCAGGAAGAACACCCGUGGCUAAGGCGGCUCUCUAGUACGGUACUGACGCUGAGACGCGAAAGCGUGGGGAGCGAACAGG